rnacentral:tRNA from 1 species
CGGAGAGACCGAUGUGAGAUUCGAACUCACAACCUUCAGA